rnacentral:rRNA from 1 species
UACGAAGGGGGCUAGCGUUGCUCGGAAUCACUGGGUUUAAAGGGUGCGUAGGUGGUCCGUUAAGUCAGUUGUGAAAUCCCCGGGCUCAACCCCGGGAACUGCUUCUGAUACUGGCGGACUUGAGGCCAGUAGGGGUCACUAGAGCUGACGGUGGAGCGGUGAAAUGCGUAGAUAUCGUCAGGAAUGCCGGUGGUGAAGACGGGUGACUGGGCUGGUUCUGACACUGAGGCACGAAAGCGUGGGGAGCGAACGGG